CCUGUUGUUCUUUUUACCUGUUCUUCACCGGCUCCUCUGAAACACAUUCCGACUACCUUCGGUUCACAGUCGCACUUCCUGGAUGUAGAACUUCCUUUUGAUCGGAAAGUCCUACAUCCUUUUGAUCGGCAAGUCCUACCUUCUGCGGGAAGAUGAAGUGUACAUAUCUGGCAGCAGAAAGAACAAGCCAUUGUUUGGUGUUUUUACUGAAGAAACCCCACGACCAUUUUUCUCGUCAUCAUGUUUCGUCCUGCAAUUUUUU
rnacentral:lncRNA from 1 species